CACAGGAAAUUGACAGAUGGCAGAAGCUUCUCAUACUCUUCAAAAAUCUCUCGCAGUGUCACUCUCUCUCUCUAGAACCUUCCUUCUCUCAUCCCUUAAAUUCCUUAUUCCCUAAGCCCCAAGUAAACCCUUGCUUAAUUCACACAUAGUAAUCUACCAAACUCUUUCUCACACACUCUCUCGCAUAGCAGAGAGAUACAGUUUCCAAUUAAGGAAAAUGAAGGGAGGUACAGUGAAAGAGGAACAAACAUUCGCAUUUGCGGCUGCUGCUCCUGCUUCACCUUCAUCCUCAACUUCCAACCUCUUCCCGCAACCAAGGGAAGGCUUGCACGAUGUGGGUCCACCUCCGUUUCUCACCAAAACCUUCGACGUGGUCGAAGACCCUUCCACCAACGACAUCGUUUCCUGGAGCAGAGCACGCAACAGUUUCGUCGUUUGGGACUCUCACAAGUUCUCCACCACCAUCUUGCCUCGUUACUUCAAGCACAACAAUUUCUCCAGCUUCGUCCGACAACUCAACACCUAUGGUUUUAGAAAAGUUGAUCCUGACAAAUGGGAAUUUGCGAACGAAGGUUUUCUGGCGGGACAGAGGCACUUGUUGAAGACGAUCAAGAGAAGGAGGCACGUAACACAGAUGCAGUCACACGAGGGAGGAAGUGGAGCUUGCGUUGAAUUGGGGGAGUUUGGAUUGGAAGGUGAGAUUGAGAGGUUGAGGAGAGACAGGACAGUUUUGAUGGCUGAAAUUGUGAAGUUGAGGCAACAACAGCACAAUUCAAGGGAGCAAUUGUUGUCCAUGGAGAGCAGAUUGCAAGUCAGCGAGAAGAAACAUCAGCAGAUGAUGACUUUUCUAGCUAAGGCACUCAACAAUCAGACUUUUAUUCAGCAGUUCCUUCACAGGAACGCUCAGAAGAUAGAGUUGCAAGGUGGUAGAAGAAAGAGGAGAUUAACUGCUUCCCCAAGCGUGGAGAAUUUGCAGCAAGAUCCUGUGAUUGAUGCGGCAUUGCCUGUUGAAGAAGAAUCCACUAAUAUUGAGUCGCACAUGGAGUCUCUUCUCUCAGCUGUUUGUGACGAUGAUCCAUUAGAAUCGAGCUCUGAAUUAGAAGACCCGAUUUUAGGUUCAGUUCCUACAACUGGUGGUGGUAGUGAUUUGGGGGUGGUAAGUGAUGCAAUCUGGGAGGAUUUACUGAACCAAGACUUGGUUGCUGCGAACCAUGAGGAGGAAGUUGUGAUUGGUGAUUUUUCACAAGUUGAUGUUCCUGUGGAGGAUUUGGUUGCUGAUCCUGAUGAGUGGAGUGAGGAUUUGCAGAACCUUGUGGAUCAUAUGGGUUAUCUUGCGUCCAAACCCUAGUUGACUAUGACAAUUUUUAUCAUCUAGGAGUUCAGAUAAACCAUCCCCCCUAGAACCAUUGUGCAGGGAAGGUGGUUGCUGCUGAAGAGGUCCUGAGAUAUUGCUCUUUGUCUGCUGUAUCCUUUGUAAACAGACAUGUGUUUUGUGAAUAGCUGAGUAUUUCUUGUACCAGUGAUGAUGAUACUGUUUUUACUAUGUUGGUGCCCCCUUUGGAUAACUACAUUGUACGUUUUCUUUUGCAGGGUAGGUUAAAACAGAUGUCGAAGGGGCCUAUUGAUUGGGAAAAGAUGUAGUCAUAAUCUAACGGUAAUUUGUUGAAUUGUCAAAUUUUCAGUGUGGAGAGACUGUGAAGUAAGAUCAUUGACGGAUUCCAAAGAAGAAUAUGAUUAACAAUUCCUUUACUCAUCAGCUAUAGCUCACCUUCUCCAUCAGUACACGCUGAAUAAAGGAAAUAAGCUUUCUUCCUGUUUCAUCUUUUAUUUUAUUCUAUAUUUUUAUGUUGCUUUUCAAAUCAUACCAAAUACACUAGAUCACUCA